GUCCAUUGGGGCGCAUUGGGGUCUAUUGUGGUGUAUUGGGGUCCCUUGGGGUCCUUUGGGGCACAGUGGGGUCCAUUGGGGUCCAUUGGGUCCAUUGUGGUGCAUUGGGCUCCACGGAGGUCCAUUGGAGUCCAUUGGGGUCCAUUGGGUUCCAUUGUGGUGCAUUGGGCUCCACAGAGGUCCAUUGUGGUCCAUUGGGGUCCAUUGUGGUGCAUUGGGAUCCAUUGGAGUCCAUUGGGGUCCAUUGGGGUCCAUUGGGUUCCAUUGGGUUCCAUUGGAGUCCAUUGAAGUCCAUUGGGUUCCAUUGGAGUCCAUUGGGGUCCAUUGGGAUCCAUUGUGGUGCAUUGGGUUCCAUUGGGCUCCAUUGAGGUCCUUUGGAGUCCAUUGUGGGGCAUUGGGCUCCACGGAGGUCCAUUGGAGUCCAUUGGGUUCCAUUGGGGUCCAUUGGAGUCCAUUGGGUUCCAUUGGGGUCCAUUGGAGUCCAUUGGAGUCCAUUGGGGUCCAUUGUGGUGCAUUGGGGUCCAUUGGGGCCCAUUGGGAUCCAUUGGGGUCCAUUGGGGUCCAUUGGGUGCAUUGGGCUCCAUUGGGGUCCAUUGGAGUCCAUUGGGAUCUGUUGGGUUCCAUUGUGGUGCACCGUGGCUCAUUGUGGCUGUGUGUCUGUGUGUGUCCGUCUGUCUGUGUGUCUGUAUGUCCGUCUGUGUGUCCCUAUGUCCCUGUGUCCGUGUGUCCCUAUGUCCCUAUGUCCGUGUGUCCCUUUGUCCGUGUGUCCCUUUGUCCGUGUGUCCCUAUGUCCGUGUGUCCGUGUGUCCCUAUGUCCGUGUGUCCGUGUGUCCGUGUGUCUGUGU
ensembl:lncRNA